rnacentral:lncRNA from 1 species
AACAUAUGAAAAUAAGUACCUAUUGCUGGUAGAUAGAUGCUUAGUGAUGGUACUUAGUGUUCUAAGAAGCUUACGAUUAAUUAUUUACAAUGUUAUUAGCAAAGAAAGUAGAUAGUCACAUAUAGGCGCUAUGAAGUGAUAAACAUUAGACAGAGUCAUCGCUCCAUGUUUGACCAUGGCACAAAAAGCAAGAGCGAGCCAAGCAUUCAAAGCAUGUGUAUGAGAUUGAUUUAGAAUCAACUUAAAGAUACUUAUAUUCCAUUACAUGAAAGCUUGAUGCUUGAAACAAAAUAUUCAGAUCACUUGGUGAUAGCAUACAUUGGCUUUAAAAGACAGAUUAUAUUAGCAUAGAUGAAUGGUGUAUAUAGUGCUUGCCCGUUAACCAUUGCUCGAGUCUUGUACCUGCCGUCGGCAGAAAGGAAAGAAGCUACGACCCAGGCGGAGGAACAACCUAGCCGCACACUACAGACAGGAUCAGAGGCCUAUUGUCACAUCCCUAGUCUGGUAUGACUUAGACUAGCUAGCCAUUUGUGCAUCAUGUUUAAAUUUCAUUUAAGUUUGAAAUGAGGAUUGGUGGAACCCUCAGAAUCAUUUUUGAAAAUGACCCAAAUAAAAAUUUCUCCAAAAGGGUCCAAGAAAAUGCUCAUGUUGCUCUCUGAAAAUAUUGGACAGAGAUAAAAAAUCAAAAGAAUAUUUUUAGGAGCUCAUGGAUAUUUAUUUUGGCCAUUUGGAUUAAUUCGAUAAAUAUUUGCAUUGGAAAUAUAUUGCUAUAUAUAUGAAAUAUGGUCCAAAAAUUAUGCCAUUUAUAAAGGAGCUCUGGAAUAAUAUAUCCAGCUCCUGCAAAAAUUGGCAUAAGGUAUUAAAUUGAUUUAGUAUUUUAUUAAAUCAAAACAAAUGUCAGAAAAAAAAUAGAAAACAGAAAUAAAGAGGAGGGGCUUACCUGGGACUUCCCCCUGUGCAGCCCAGCCGCAGCAGGCCGGCCCAGCCAGCAGGCGGCCCAGCCCACCUGGCCCCCCCCUCCUCUUUCGUCUUCCUCCCCGACAGGGGGACGGAGCGUGCCCGGCGCGCGCGCGCGCCACCGCGCCACGCCACCUCCCUCCCUGCCUGCCUGCCUCUCCCCUCCUCGUCUGGAUGCCCCGGACGACGCCACGCAGCCACCCCGACCCCCUCGCACUCCCCCUCGCCCUCGUCCUCUCCUUUGUCUCUCUCUCUCUCACGGCCAAACGCCACCGACGCCACCGCUCGCCGUAGACGUAGCCACCGCGCCCCUCGAGAGCAUCUGAGCAGUCCACGAGCUCCGCCACGUCGCCGGCUACCUCCUCGUCGAGCCACGCACCUCCGGACGGCCUCCAUCGCCGCCAUCGCCAUCGUCUUCCUCCUCGGGCUCCGCCGUCCGCCGCCGUCGAUUCGCCGUCACCAGGUCUCCCCCGACCCCGCUGUGCUGCUCUGCGUGAUCGUCGUGAGCAUCUCCCUGUUUCCCCUCUCUUUCCCCCCUCGUUUCCGCGCCGUAGCACCGUUCCCCACCACGGCCGAAGCCUCUCGCCGCCGUCCAUGUCGCCGUCGCCGUCUCGGCCCGCCUCCGCCCAAACCGAGCCUUCCAUUGCGCUCCCGGUGCCACGAGGGUGCCGCCGAGCCCCUCAGGUGGCCUCCCCGUGCCCCGCAGCCCGAUCCCGCUCGCGCCCGAACUCCGGCCGCCGCCGCGAGCUUUGCUCCGGCGAGCUCCGGCCUCCCCCGCUACUUCCACCUGCCCUACCAGAUGCGCGAGAGCCCGGGCUACGCCCCGGUGCUCUCCGACGCCGCCCCCGUGGUCUGUUUCGCGGACGCCGCCGCGUCCAGAGGUCGCCGCCGACGACCUCGCCGGCCUGACGAGUGGGCCCCGUCGGCAGGUGAUUAGCUUAGUGCUAAUCACCGUUAACUAACCCCCCCUGACACUGACAGUGGGCCCCAGCGCCACUAACUUUUAAUUAGAACUAAAUUAACCCCUGUUUAACCCCCUGUCACUGACGUGUGGGCCCCACACGUCAGGUUUGACCCGGACCAGCCCAGUUGACCGCUGACGUCGUGCUGACGUCAUGCUGGCGCAAUAAUAUGAUUUCUGGAUUUAAAUUAAAUCAGAAAAUUCCAGAAAUUGUUUUAAACUUCAAAAAUUCAUAACAAUUCAACCGUAGCUCAGAUUAAAAUAAUUUAUAUAUGAAAAAUUAUCAGAAAAAUGCAAUCUUUCCAUCUGUACUAGUUUCAUGCAUGACAAACCAACUUAUACAUGCUGAAUAUGAGGAAACACAUCAUGGCAUAUGUAGGAGCUUAAUUUGGAGAUGCAUUUGAACCUUUGGUUCAAAUGGACUUCAAACCAAAUGAUUACUAGUUACAUUAGCUCAAACAGCAUCACAUCUACAUGCCAUGUUCAUGCAUCAUAUUGUUGCAUAUGUUUGUGCUUUGAUUGCCGACACUGUUCCUUCUCGAUAGGUCCUGCUCCGGAGUCCGUUCCAGAGUACCUGUCUGUGAAGCAGUGCCUCCUCUGUUGAUUUACCAGGCAAGCAAACCCCCUUGUUCAUUUCGAUAAAACCCUACUCUCUCGCUCCUGCUCUCAGUUAUUGCAUUAGGACAACAACGGUUCAUCUGCUACUUUGUGCUGCGGUAGUUGAACCCAUUCCUUUGCAUGACCUGUCAUUGCCACAGUAAAUAGUUGAAACCCACUAGCAUGUGUAGGAAUUGAUUGAAGCCAUUGUUGUGUUCCUACCAUGCUAUGCCUGCUAUUGCUUAGAGUUGUGUCAGGUCUGAUUCAUUGGGAAUGAAUUGGAGUGUUACGAUAUGUUCUGAUGCUGAGAGUUAAGUGUGUGAACACGAUUUGGUAAAGGUAGCGGUGAGAGGCCAUGUAGGAGUACAUGGUGGGUUGUCUCACUGGAACCGUCCUUAAGCACUGAGUUCUAUGUAUGUUGUCCAAUGACUCGAUACUACCACACAUUGGAAUGCUUAAGUGCCCCUCUCGACUUAUUAGCCAACUUGAUCUCUGUCCAGGAGUCGCAACUAGUUUCUGGUGUUUGUAGGUAGUGCUAUUUUUCUACCAAGUGGCACCCGGCAGGGUGGGCUUGGGACAGACUAGGCACACGUGGCCCGGUGUACCGAGUGGCACCCGGUUGGUGGGCUCGGGAACCCUGCUCACAUCGUUUGGGGCCGUGAGCGACACCCCGGCCGGAUCUCCUUGCGGAUGGAACCCGAAUAGGCGAUAAACCUGGACUAGAGUCUUGUGUGGUUAGUCAGGUCGUGGCCGACACCCUCGCCAGGCUUCCGCUUGAAGGUUGCCGAGAUACAUGGCGUGUACAUGGCGGUAAGUGGCGAGAGCGUGUGUGAAGAAGUACACCCCUGCAGGGUUAACAUGAUCUAUUCGAAUAGCCGGGUCCGCGGUUAUGGACUUCUUGGAUGCUUACAUGGUACAUAGACAACUUGAAGUGGAUACUCUAAAAUGCUCAAGACAAGUGUGAGUGCUAUGGAUGGCCUUCUCGUAGGGAGACGGGGAUGAAUCCAUAGUAGUGUAUUGUAUGGUGAUUAGUGGACUCGUGUACGUUGUCUCACCUCCAGAGUUUCUGGUAGUCGUAGAACAGGAUAGCCACAGAGUCAAAGCUGGCUUGCUGCAGCUAAACCCCACAUUACCUCUUGAUACAGAUGCAUGUAUGAUAGGAUCUGAUGUAAGUCUUGCUGAGUACCUUUGUACUCAUGUUGCUUUAUUUAUGUUUUUGCAGCGGAGACUUCGGUCUUACUAGGGUUCUCAUGGACUUCGACUAGUAGCUAGUACCUCAGCUACGAUCUUGAUCGGAUGUUGUAGAUAGUCAGGCUUUCAGCCUUUUUUUCAUUUGUAGAUGUCUGUACCCAGACAUGUAAUGCUUCCGCUUGUUGCUUGUAUGCUCUGUAUGAUGGGUUUUGUGACCCCUGUUUGCAAUAAAUGCUAUGAUGGCUCUUCUGAGCCUUUAUCUAUAUGAUUGUUGAGUUAUGAUGUGAUGCCAUGUUGUACAGCACAUACUUGCAUGUUAUGCGUACGUGUAAUGUGUAUUGCUAUGUGUGGGAUCUGACUACCUAGUUGUUUAUUCUUAGUAGCCUCUCUUACCGGGAAAUGUCUCCUAGUGCUUCCACUGAGCCCUGGUAGCUUGCUACUGCUCCGGAACACUUAGGCAGGCCGGCAUGUGUCCUUCUUCGAUCCUGUGUCUGUCCCUUCGGGGAAAUGUCACGCGAUGAAUACCGGAGUCCUGCUAGCCCGCUACAGCCCGGUUCACCGGAGUCCUGUUAGCCCAGUGCUACAGCCUGGUUUCACUCGUUGAUGACCGACACGUUCGAUGCUGGGUCAUGGAUGCCUGUCCCUGUAAGUUAGUGCCACUUUGGGUUUAUGACUAGCCAUGUCAGCCCGGGCUCUUUAUCAUAUGGAUGCUAGCGACACCAUCAUAUACGUGUGCCAAAAUGCGCAAUCGGUCCCGAGCAAAGGUAAGGCGACACCCAUGGGGAUACCGUGCGUGAGGCCGCAAAGUGAUAUGAUGCGUUACAUGCUAGAUCGAUGUGGCAUUGAGUCGGGGUCCUGACAGCGCUGGUAUCAGAGCCUGACUGCCUGUAGGAUUACCAAGCCAAGCUGGUCGAAGUCGAGUCUAGAAAAUCUUUAGUUAUGUAAGGGAAUUGAUUGUGGGCUGGAACGUAAGGCUCUUUUUACUCCUUAUACCUCAUGACCUUCUGAUCUGAGUCGUCCUAUCUUUCCGACGGGAUUAAGGAACUAGGCUUCUCUUCCGUCUAUCAGGAUCACGUGUUACUACUCCGUAGUUCCAUAGGAUUGGUUGAUCAGAGUCAUACCCCAGUUUUGAGUAUUUCCGGUGUAGUCUGUUUAGUACUACCUCCGAACCUCGAGUGAUGAUGAUGAGUAUGUUACCACCCCAUUUUUAGUAGGAUGUCUCAUUCUGAGCAUUUUACUGCCGUUAUGCUGCCGGAAUUUCCCUAGGAGUUCGAGUGAUACUAAUCCCUUGUCCUACAUUCUAUAGCCUAUAGAUUGAUGCUGACUCCGUCCUUGGUUCGUCUUUCAGGAUGUCAUCAGCUAAGCGAAGUUCCGUCGCUCGUAGCCAGAACCACGGAGAUGGUAGGAAUGAGGAUCCUCCCGACCCGCCUUCGUUGACAGAGUUCAUGCUAGAGAUGGAGAGGAACAAGCGUGAGUCUAACCGUUUGUUGGCACGUAUCGAGGAGAACACCGCACAUCAGUUCAAAGGGUCUGCUACCAUUCAUGAUUUCAUUCGCUUGCACCCACCUACCUUUCAUCAUUCCAUCGAGCCACUCGAUGCAGAUGACUGGCUCCGUAGCAUCACUCAUAAGCUGCUUUCCGCGAGCGUAGCUGAAGAUGACAAGGUCACUUAUGCCACAUACCACCUGGAAGGUCCUGCUAGUCUUUGGUGGCAGAACUAUGAGGCUAUGCUUCCAGCUGGCCAGAUUCCUACCUGGAGAGAUUUCACUGAGGCUUUUCGCGAGCAUCACAUUCCCCAGGCCCUCCUUGAUCGCAAGAGAGAAGAGUUCUGUAGUCUCACCCAGAAUAAGAUGGUUGUUGAUGCUUACAGCCGAGAGUUUGAGAACCUCGCCCGCUAUGCCGCAGAAGAAGUGUCCACGGACGCUAGGAAGCAGGCUAGGUUCCGGAAGGGUCUUAACCCCAAGUUGCGUCGUGAUCUCCACCUACAUCAUUGUGAUACAUUCCAAGCUCUUGUGAACAAAGCCAUUAAUGCAGAGACAGCUCAGCUCACUUACGAGGAGUCUCGUAAGCACACCCGUGAUUUGGGAUCCUCCUCUGGCUCUAGUUCCCAGAAGCGCCGGAUUUGGGUUCCAAACUCCGCUCUUCCUUCCGGUUAUACACCGAGGCCAUCCUAUGUGGUGCCUUCCCCAGCUCAGUCGUAUGUUCCACCCUUGCCUACUGGUAGACCGCUUGUCAGUGCGGGUCCACGUCCAACCUCAGGGACUUGCUUCACAUGCGGGAAGCCAGGACACUAUGCACGUGACUGCUCUCAGACUAGUUAUGCUCCACCCCAGCCCGAGAAGACUGUUGGCUGUGUUAAGCCAUCACGCAAGAUGAUCAGUGUCAAGUCAGUUCCCACUGAACGUGGACGUGUGCAUCACGUCUCAGCUAAAGACGCUCAUGAUGAUCCAGAUGUCGUUCUUGGUACACUCCUUGUCAAUUGUCACCCAGCAUCAGUUCUAUUCGAUACUGGGGCAUCUCACUCCUUCAUUUCUGAAGGCUAUGCUCGUUUGCACGACAUGUCAUUUUGUGAUAUGCCAACUCCGCUUGAAAUCCAAACCCCAGGGUCUAGAUGGCAGACCACCAGAAUCAGCCAUGGUAACGAAAUCCUUGUUGAUAGACUUGUAUUCCUUGCAUCACUUGUAGCCCUCAAGUCCUCAGAUAUUAACAUCAUCUUGGGUAUGGACUGGAUGACAGCUCAUCAUGCCAAGAUUGAUUGUUACUCCAGAUCUGUUCAGCUUACACACCCAUCUGGCAAGAUAGUCACCGUCUCCACUAGAGUUGCAAAGCGUCAGCUCUAUUCUCUUAAUGCCAGCCCUCUUCCAGACCUUGAAGAUAUCCCGGUAGUUCGUGACUUUCCAGAUGUCUUUCCAGAGGAACUGCCAGGUGUUCCACCUGACAGAGAUGUAGAGUUCGUCAUAGAUCUUAUCCCAGGAACAGCUCCAAUCUCCCGGAGACCUUACAAGAUGGCACCCCUAGAACUAGCCGAGCUUAAGAAACAACUCGAUGAGUCCUUGCAAAAGGGUUUCAUCCGUCCUAGUUCUUCUCCUUGGGCUUGCCCCGUCCUCUUCGUCAAGAAGAAGGAUGGUACGGACCGGAUGGUUGUAGAUUAUCGUCCCGUUAAUUUGGUCACCAUAAAGAACAAGUAUCCGCUCCCCAGGAUCAACGACCUGUAUGAUCAGCUCGCUGGAUCCUCAGUUUUCUCCAAGAUGGAUUUGAGGUUAGGAUACCACCAAAUCAAAAUCAGAAACGGGGACAUUCCCAAGACAGCUUUUGUCACUCGUUAUGGCCAGUACGAGUACACCGUCAUGUCCUUUGGCCUAACCAACGCCCCAGCCACAUUCUCCCGCUUGAUGAACUCGAUCUUCAUGGAGUACUUAGAUAAGUUCGUCGUGGUUUACCUCGAUGAUAUUCUUAUUUACUCGAAGAACGAGGAAGAGCAUGUCGAACAUCUUAGACUUGUUUUAGAAAAACUCAGAGAGCACCGCCUUUAUGCCAAGUUCUCCAAGUGUGAAUUUUGGUUGCCAGAAGUGACCUACCUAGGCCACGUAAUCUCUGGUAAGGGCAUUGCUGUCAAUCCCGAGAGAGUUCAAGCCGUUCUCGAUUGGACUCCACCUGAAACAGUCAAACAAGUUAGGAGCUUCCUUGGUCUAGCCAGCUAUUGUCGCCGCUUUGUUGAAAACUUCUCCAAAGUAGCCAAACCCCUCACGGAACUUCUCAAGAAAGAUAAAAAGUUCGAGUGGUCCCCACAGUGUGAGUACAGUUUUCGGGAGCUAAAAAGACGCCUGACUUCUGCUCCCAUACUUGUGCCACCGGAUUUCACAAGGGACUUUGUUAUCUAUUGUGACGCCUCACGACAGGGACUAGGUUGCAUUCUUAUGCAGGAUCGUCAUGUGAUUGCCUAUGCAUCUCGACAGUUGCAUCCACAUGAGAAGAAUUAUCCUACACAUGAUCUAGAGCUUGCAGCCGUAGUCUAUGCACUCAAGACCUGGCGACAUUACCUUCUUGGUAAACGUUGCGAGAUCUACACCGAUCACCAGAGUCUCAAGUAUAUCUUCACCCAACCGGAUCUGAACCUUAGGCAAAGACGUUGGUUGGAGUUGCUCACAGAUUAUGAUCUAGGGAUUACCUACACCCCAGGCAAAGCCAAUGUCAUGGCUGAUGCUCUAAGUCGUAAAUUCUAUUGCAACAAUCUCAUGUUGCAGCAAGGCCAACCACUUCUCCAUGAGGAAUUCUGUAAGCUUAACCUUCACAUUGCUCCUCGCGGAUUCCUUUCUACCUUGGUGGCGAAACCUACCCUUGAGGAUCAGAUCAUCUCUGACCAGAAGUUUGAUAGGGGGGUUAUCCGCAUUAAGAGAAACAUUAAGAAGGGAGUUGGUGGGUGUUUCUCUAUGGAUGAUCGUGGUGUUGUUUUCUUUGAGAAUCGCUUGGUGGUUCCCAAGAAUCAACAUCUGCGACAAUUGAUUCUUAAGGAGGCGCAUGAAUCUCCUCUCACGAUUCAUCCCGGUAGUACUAAGAUGUAUCAGGACCUACGCCAGAGGUUCUGGUGGACUAGGAUGAAGAGAGAAAUCGCUGAGUUCAUUGCUAAAUGUGACGUUUGUCGUCGCGUUAAGGCAGAGCAUCAGAGACCUGCUGGCACCCUUCAGCCUUUAGCUAUUCCUGAAUGGAAAUGGGAUAAAGUUGGUAUGGACUUCAUCACCGGCUUUCCCAGGACCAAGAGAGGGAAUAAUGCUAUCUUCGUAGUCAUUGAUCGUCUCUCCAAAGUGGCUCACUUCCUUCCUGUUCGAGAGAGUAUCACUGCUAGUCAGCUUGCUGACUUAUAUAUUUCUUGAAUAGUGUCACUUCAUGGUGUUCCACUAGAGAUCAAUUCAGAUCGUGGCAGUCUUUUCACUUCUCAUUUCUGGGAGAGUUUCCAAACUGCCAUGGGAACCCAUCUUUCUUUCAGUACCGCAUUCCACCCUCAAUCAAGUGGUCAGGUGGAAUGGGUCAAUCAAAUUCUCGAAGACAUGCUCAGAGCUUGCGUUAUCUCAUUCGGUAUGAAUUGGGAGAAAUGUCUUCCUUUUGCCGAGUUUGCUUAUAACAAUAGCUAUCAAUCCAGCCUCAAGAAAGCUCCUUUUGAGGUUCUCUAUGGACGAAGAUGUCGAACACCUUUGAACUGGUCAGAAACCGGUGAAAGACAAUUUUUUGGACCGGAUAUGAUCCAGGAGGCAGAAGAGCAAGUUCGCAUCAUUCGUGAGAAUUUGAAAACAGCCCAGUCUCGUCAGAAGAGCCAGUACGAUCGUCAUCAUAAGGAUAUGACUUAUGAAAUUGGCGACCAAGCUUACCUUCGGGUUACUCCUUUGAAGGGUACCCAUCGUUUCGGUAUCAAGGGCAAGUUGGCUCCUUGUUACAUUGGUCCUUUUCGUAUUCUCGCUAAACGAGGAGAGGUUGCCUACCAAUUGGAACUACCCCCACAUCUUUCUCGAGUUCAUGAUGUCUUCCACGUCUCUCAACUCAGGCGUUGCUUCUCGGAUCCUAUCCGUGGAGUGGACCACGAAACGCUUGAUCUCCAAGAUAACCUCACAUACCGAGAGUAUCCGGUUUGCAUUCUUGAUCAAGCGGAGCGUGUUACCCGACGUCAGAACAUCAAGUUUCUCAAAGUUCAGUGGUCUCAUCAUUCCGAGAGAGAAGCUACUUGGGAGCGAGAAGAUCGUCUUCGACUGGAGUACCCCGCUUUCUUUCCGUCGACCCCUGAAUCUCGGGACGAGAUUCUUUCAAGUGGGGGCGAGUUGUCACAUCCCUAGUGUGGUAUGACUUAGACUAGCUAGCCAUUUGUGCAUCAUGUUUAAAUUUCAUUUAAAUUUGAAAUGAGGAUUGGUGGAACCCUCAGAAUCAUUUUUGAAAAUGACCCAAAUAAAAAUUUCUCCAAAAGGGUCCAAGAAAAUGCUCAUGUUGCUCUCUGAAAAUAUUGGACAGAGAUAAAAAAUCAAAACAAUAUUUUUAGGAGCUCAUGGAUAUUUAUUUUGGCCAUUUGGAUUAAUUCGAUAAAUAUUUGCAUUGGAAAUAUAUUGCUAUAUAUAUGAAAUAUGGUCCAAAAAUUAUGCCAUUUAUAAAGGAGCUCUGGAAUAAUAUAUCCAGCUCCUGCAAAAAUUGGCAUAAGGUAUUAAAUUGAUUUAGUAUUUUAUUAAAUCAAAACAAAUGUCAGAAAAAAAUAGAAAACAGAAAUAAAGAGGAGGGGCUUACCUGGGGCUUCCCCCUGUGCAGCCCAGCCGCAGCAGGCCGGCCCAGCCAGCAGGCGGCCCAGCCCACCUGGCCCCCCCUCCUCUUUCGUCUUCCUCCCCGACAGGGGGACGGAGCGUGCCCGGCGCGCGCGCGCGCCACCGCGCCACGCCACCUCCCUCCCUGCCUGCCUGCCUCUCCCCUCCUCGUCUGGAUGCCCCGGACGACGCCACGCAGCCACCCCAACCCCCUCGCACUCCCCCUCGCCCUCGUCCUCUCCUCUGUCUCUCUCUCUCUCACGGCCAAACGCCACCGACGCCACCGCUCGCCGUAGACGUAGCCACCGCGCCCCUCGAGAGCAUCUGAGCAGUCCACGAGCUCCGCCACGUCGCCGGCUACCUCCUCGUCGAGCCACGCACCUCCGGACGGCCUCCAUCGCCGCCAUCGCCAUCGUCUUCCUCCUCGGGCUCCGCCGUCCGCCGCCGUCGAUUCGCCGUCACUAGGUCUCCCCCGACCCCGCUGUGCUGCUCUGCGUGAUCGCCGUGAGCAUCUCCCUGUUUCCCCUCUCUUUCCCCCCUCGUUUCCGCGCCGUAGCACCGUUCCCCACCACGGCCGAAGCCUCUCGCCGCCGUCCAUGUCGCCGUCGCCGUCUCGGCCCGCCUCCGCCCAAACCGAGCCUACCAUUGCGCUCCCGGUGCCACGAGGGUGCCGCCGAGCCCCUCAGGUGGCCUCCCCGUGCCCCGCAGCCCGAUCCCGCUCGCGCCCGAACUCUGGCCGCCGCCGCGAGCUUUGCUCCGGCGAGCUCCGGCCUCCCCCGCUACUUCCACCUGCCCUACCAGAUGCGCGAGAGCCCGGGCUACGCCCCGGUGCUCUCCGACGCCGCCCCCGUGGUCUGUUUCGCGGACGCCGCCGCGUCCAGAUGUCGCCGCCGACGACCUCACCGGCCUGACGAGUGGGCCCCGUCGGCAGGUGAUUAGCUUAGUGCUAAUCACCGUUAACUAACCCCCCUGACACUGACAGUGGGCCCCAGCGCCACUAACUUUUAAUUAGAACUAAAUUAACCCCUGUUUAACCCCCUGUCACUGACGUGUGGGCCCCACACGUCAGGUUUGACCCGGACCAGCCCAGUUGACCGAUGACGUCGUGCUGACGUCAUGCUGGCGCAAUAAUAUGAUUUCUGGAUUUAAAUUAAAUCAGAAAAUUCCAGAAAUUGUUUUAAACUUCAAAAAUUCAUAACAAUUCAACCGUAGCUCAGAUUAAAAUAAUUUAUAUAUGAAAAAUUAUCAAAAAAAUGCAAUCUUUCCAUCUGUACUAGUUUCAUGCAUGAAAACCAACUUAUACACGCUGAAUAUGAGGAAACACAUCAUGGCAUAUGUAGGAGCUUAAUUUGGAGAUGCAUUUGAACCUUUGGUUCAAAUGGACUUCAAACCAAAUGAUUACUAGUUACAUUAGCUCAAACAGCAUCACAUCUACAUGCCAUGUUCAUGCAUCAUAUUGUUGCAUAUGUUUGUGCUUUGAUUGCCGACACUGUUCCUUCUCGAUAGGUCCUGCUCCGGAGUCCGUUCCAGAGUACAUGUCUGUGAAGCAGUGCCUCCUCUGUUGAUUUACCAGGCAAGCAAACCCCCUUGUUCAUUUCGAUAAAACCCUACUCUCUCGCUCCUGCUCUCAGUUAUUGCAUUAGGACAACAACGGUUCAUCUGCUACUUUGUGCUGCGGUAGUUGAACCCAUUCCUUUGCAUGACCUGUCAUUGCCACAGUAAAUAGUUGAAACCCACUAGCAUGUGUAGGAAUUGAUUGAAGCCAUUGUUGUGUUCCUACCAUGCUAUGCCUGCUAUUGCUUAGAGUUGUGUCAGGUCUGAUUCAUUGGGAAUGAAUUGGAGUGUUACGAUAUGUUCUGAUGCUGAGAGUUAAGUGUGUGAACACGAUUUGGUAAAGGUAGCGGUGAGAGGCCAUGUAGGAGUACAUGGUGGGUUGUCUCACUGGAACCGUCCUUAAGCACUGAGUUCUAUGUAUGUUGUCCAAUGACUCGAUACUACCACACAUUGGAAUGCUUAAGUGCCCCUCUCGACUUAUUAGCCAACUUGAUCUCUGUCCAGGAGUCGCAACUAGUUUCUGGUGUUUGUAGGUAGUGCUAUUUUUCUACCAAGUGGCACCCGGCAGGGUGGGCUUGGGACAGACUAGGCACACGUGGCCCGGUGUACCGAGUGGCACCCGGUUGGUGGGCUCGGGAACCCUGCUCACAUCGUUUGGGGCCGUGAGCGACACCCCGGCCGGAUCUCCUUGCGGAUGGAACCCGAAUAGGCGAUAAACCUGGACUAGAGUCUUGUGUGGUUAGUCAGGUCGUGGCCGACACCCUCGCCAGGCUUCCGCUUGAAGGUUGCCGAGAUACAUGACGUGUACAUGGCGGUAAGUGGCGAGAGCGUGUGUGAAGUACACCCCUGCAGGGUUAACAUGAUCUAUUCGAAUAGUCGGGUCCGCGGUUAUGGACUUCUUGGAUGCUUACAUGGUACAUAGACAACUUGAAGUGGAUACUCUAAAAUGCUCAAGACAAGUGUGAGUGCUAUGGAUGGCCUUCUCGUAGGGAGACGGGGAUGAAUCCAUAGUAGUGUAUUGUAUGGUGAUUAGUGGACUCGUGUACAUUGUCUCACCUCCAGAGUUUCUGGUAGUCGUAGAACAGGAUAGCCACAGAGUCAAAGCUGGCUUGCUGCAGCUAAACCCCACAUUACCUCUUGAUACAAAUGCAUGUAUGAUAGGAUCUGAUGUAAGUCUUGCUGAGUACCUUUGUACUCAUGUUGCUUUAUUUAUGUUUUUGCAGCGGAGACUUCGGUCUUACUAGGGUUCUCAUGGACUUCGACUAGUAGCUAGUACCUCAGCUACGAUCUUGAUCGGAUGUUGUAGAUAGUCAGGCUUUCAGCCUUUUUUUCAUUUGUAGAUGUCUGUACCCAGACAUGUAAUGCUUCCGCUUGUUGCUUGUAUGCUCUGUAUGAUGGGUUUUGUGACCCCUGUUUGCAAUAAAUGCUAUGAUGGCUCUUCUGAGCCUUUAUCUAUAUGAUUGUUGAGUUAUGCUGUGAUGCCAUGUUGUACAGCACAUACUUGCAUGUUAUGCGUACGUGUAAUGUGUAUUGCUAUGUGUGGGAUCUGACUACCUAGUUGUUUAUUCUUAGUAGCCUCUCUUACCGGGAAAUGUCUCCUAGUGCUUCCACUGAGCCCUGGUAGCUUGCUACUGCUCCGGAACACUUAGGCAGGCCGGCAUGUGUCCUUCUUCGAUCCUGUGUCUGUCCCUUCGGGGAAAUGUCACGCGAUGAACACCAGAGUCCUGCUAGCCCGCUACAGCCCGGUUCACCGGAGUCCUGUUAGCCCAGUGCUACAGCCUGGUUUCACUCGUUGAUGACCGACACGUUCGAUGUUGGGUCAUGGAUGCUUGUCCCUGUAAGUUAGUGCCACUUUGGGUUUACAACUAGCCAUGUCAGCCCGGGCUCUUUAUCAUAUGGAUGCUAGCGACACCAUCAUAUACGUGUGCCAAAAUGCGCAAUCGGUCCCAGGCAAAGGUAAGGCGACACCCGUGGGGAUACCGUGCGUGAGGCCGCAAAGUGAUAUGAGGCGUUACAUGCUAGAUCGAUGUGGCAUUGAGUCGGGGUCCUGACACCUAUAGAGGAACAAAAAGAAUCAAGCGACUGUGUAUAAAACAAUAAGAUGGUACACUUUAUUAAUUAUUUUUCUAGCUGUUUUUCCUUUAUCAACAAGAGCACGUAUUAGUUGGGUAAGCAAUAACCAGGUGGUACACUUGAUAUUGGAACCCCCAUACAUUUAUUAUCUCUAUUCAUUCAAAGAACUAACCCGAGCAGGCAUUGCAAGACUAUUAAGAAUCCGUAUGAAACUAAGAAAAGUGGGCAUCCUCUAUAAACAUGGAUAUCGACCAAUGGCAUAUGAGCACACAAUCACCCAGGAAGAAAACCACCAGGACAAGCAUAAGUAAACAAGAACACAUUUUUUCUAACAAGAUAUGAAGGAAAACCCAUACAAAGCACGGCAAACAUAAUAGGUGAACCGUGAAACACAUAGACAUGCAACCUAGCCGCACCAAUGCAGGAGUUCAUGGCCUAUAUUAUCAAGAAGUAAUAAGCCAAGGCAAUCUGAGCAGAUCUAACCUUGUUGGUUAACGGCAUGGUCGAAUGAACCAACAAAGAACCUGCACAGGCAGAGAAACAUGCAACGCAAAAUGUUUCAGCUCACAGGCAUUUCAUCGAACAGGAGACGGCAGGAAAGAUCUUACCAUAUCUUGCAAGAAUAAAAGGGAAAGAAACCCAUAUUAGCUUAUGAAAACCAAAUGUGGCCAAGACUGCCGCAUCCUCUGCUUAGGCGACAUCCAGCAAAGCAUAGUGCAGAACUGCAGAUUCAGAACAU